CCUACGGGAGGCAGCAGUGAGGAAUAUUGGUCAAUGGACGAGAGUCUGAACCAGCCAAGUAGCGUGAAGGAUGACUGCCCUAUGGGUUGUAAACUUCUUUUAUAUGGGAAUAAAACGUUCCACGUGUGGGAUUUUGUAUGUAACAUAUGAAUAAGGAUCGGCUAACUCCGUGCCAGCAGCCGCGGUAAUACGGAGGAUCCGAGCGUUAUACGGAUUUAUUGGGUUUAAAGGGAGCGUAGGUGGAUUGUUAAGUCAGUUGUGAAAGUUUGCGGCUCAACCGUAAAAUUGCAGUUGAAACUGGCAGUCUUGAGUACAGUAGAGGUGGGCGGAAUUCGUGGUGUAGCGGUGAAAUGCUUAGAUAUCACGAAGAACUCCGAUUGCGAAGGCAGUUCACUGGACUGCAACUGACACUGAGGCUCGAAAGUGUGGGUAUCAAACAGGAUUAGAUACCCUAGUAGUC
rnacentral:rRNA from 1 species